AGUGAACGCUGGCGGUAGGCCUAACACAUGCAAGUCGAACGGCAGCACAGUAAGAGCUUGCUCUUACGGGUGGCGAGUGGCGGACGGGUGAGGAAUACAUCGGAAUCUACUUUUUCGUGGGGGAUAACGUAGGGAAACUUACGCUAAUACCGCAUACGACCUACGGGUGAAAGCAGGGGAUCUUCGGACCUUGCGCGAUUGAAUGAGCCGAUGUCGGAUUAGCUAGUUGGCGGGGUAAAGGCCCACCAAGGCGACGAUCCGUAGCCGGUCUGAGAGGAUGAUCAGCCACACUGGAACUGAGACACGGUCCAGACUCCUACGGGAGGCAGCAGUGGGGAAUAUUGGACAAUGGGCGCAAGCCUGAUCCAGCCAUACCGCGUGGGUGAAGAAGGCCUUCGGGUUGUAAAGCCCUUUUGUUGGGAAAGAAAAGCAGCAGGUUAAUACCCCGCUGUUCUGACGGUACCCAAAGAAUAAGCACCGGCGAACUUCGU
rnacentral:rRNA from 1 species